rnacentral:tRNA from 1 species
GGCCAGGUAGUUUAGAAAAAACAAUUGAUUGUUAAUCGAUAGUGAAAGGUUGUCCUUUUCUGGCUA